rnacentral:rRNA from 1 species
AAAUGAAUAGACGGGGGCCCGCACAAGCAGUGGAUUAUGUGGUUUAAUUCGAAGCAACGCGAAGAACCUUACCGGGGUUUGACAUCCAACUAACGAAGCAGAGAUGCAUUAGGUGCCCUUCGGGGAAAGUUGAGACAGGUGGUGCAUGGUUGUCGUCAGCUCGUGUCGUGAGAUGUUGGGUUAAGUCCCGCAACGAGCGCAACCCUUAUUGUUAGUUGCUACGCAAGAGCACUCUAGCGAGACUGCCGUUGACAAAACGGAGGAAGGUGGGGACGACGUCAAAUCAUCAUGCCCCUUAUAUCCCGGGCUACACACGUAAUACAAUGGCGGUCAACAAAGGGAAGCAAAGCCGCGAGGCAGAGCAAAUCCCCAAAAGCCGUCUCAGUUCGGAUUGCAGGCUGCAACUCGCCUGCAUGAAGUCGGAAUUGCUAGUAAUCGCGGAUCAGCACGCCGCGGUGAAUACGUUCCCGGGCCUUGUACACACCGCCCGU